CCAAUAUCACAAUCAUAACUUAGAAGGUUUGAAAAACAGAAAUCCACUUCUAAGCAUGACAAAACUUUUCCUCAUUAUGUGGCGCGCCAUGUACGUUCGAUUGUUACUCGCUUUCUUUCCCCUCAUUCACUGAUCCCGGGACACGCCCAGUCAGAUCCAAAAUCUGUUAUUGAUCUCGGGACACGCCCAGUCAGAUCCAGAAUCUGUUAUUGAUCUCGGGACACACCCAGGCAGAUCCAAUAAUCUUAACUGUGCUCCGGAUAACCUCCUAUCAAGCACCCAUCCUUAUAACAUUCUUAAUUUGUUAGUGCACGAUGGUG
rnacentral:lncRNA from 1 species